GAGUAACGGAGGAGCACGAAGGUUAGCUAAUCCUGGUCGGACAUCAGGAGGUUAGUGCAAUGGCAUAAGCUAGCUUGACUGCGAGCGUGACGGCGCGAGCAGGUGCGAAAGCAGGUCAUAGUGAUCCGGUGGUUCUGAAUGGAAGGGCCAUCGCUCAACGGAUAAAAGGUACUCCGGGGAUAACAGGCUGAUACCGCCCAAGAGUUCAUAUCGACGGCGGUGUUUGGCACCUCGAUGUCGGCUCAUCACAUCCUGGGGCUGAAGUAGGUCCCAAGGGUAUGGCUGUUCGCCAUUUAAAGUGGUACGCGAGCUGGGUUUAGAACGUCGUGAGACAGUUCGGUCCCUAUCUGCCGUGGGCGCUGGAGAAUUGAGGGGGGCUGCUCCUAGUACGAGAGGACCGGAGUGGACGCAUCACUGGUGUUCGGGUUGUCAUGCCAAUGGCAUUGCCCGGUAGCUAAAUGCGGAAGAGAUAAGUGCUGAAAGCAUCUAAGCACGAAACUUGCCCCGAGAUGAGUUCUCCCUGAGACUUUAAGUCUCCUGAAGGAACGUUAAAGACGAUGACGUUGAUAGGUCGGGUGUGUAAGCGUAGCGAUACGUUGAGCUAACCGAUACUAAUGAACCGUGAGGCUUAACCUU
rnacentral:rRNA from 1 species